UACAGAGGGUGCGAGCGUUGUUCGGAAUUACUGGGCGUAAAGGGCUCGUAGGCGGCCAACUAAGUCAGACGUGAAAUCCCUCGGCUUAACCGGGGAACUGCGUCUGAUACUGGAUGGCUUGAGAUUGGGAGAGGGAUGCGGAAUUCCAGGUGUAGCGGUGAAAUGCGUAGAUAUCUGGAGGAACACCGGUGGCGAAGGCGGCAUCCUGGACCAACACUGACGCUGAGGAGCGAAAGCCAGGGGAGCAAACGGG
rnacentral:rRNA from 1 species